UGGACACUUUAGUCUUUGAAUGUGGCCUUG
rnacentral:piRNA from 1 species